GAUGAAGAACGCAGCGAAAUGCGAUACUUGGUGUGAAUUGCAGAAUCCCGUGAACCAUCGAGUCUUUGAACGCAAGUUGCGCCCGAAGCCAUUAGGCCGAGGGCACGCCUGCCUGGGCGUCACACGUCGUUGCCCCCCCAUCUACUCCUUCGGGAUUGUGGGGGGCGGAUGAUGGCCUCCCGUGCGCCUCGCCGCGCGGUUGGCAUAAAUGCCAAGUCCUCGGCGACGCACGCCACGACAAUCGGUGGUUGCGAAACCUCGGUUGCCCGUCGUGUGCGGUCGUCGCGCAUCGAGGGCUCGAAAAAAUUGCCGGGUUCCGGCUCGGCUUUCAACGCGACCCCAGGUCAGGCGGGGUUACCCGCUGAAUUUAAGCAUAUCAAUAAGCGGAGGA
rnacentral:misc_RNA from 1 species